rnacentral:rRNA from 1 species
CGACCGUUCUAGUGAUUUCUAUCUUAGGUAGGAGGUGUAAUUCGUAAACUUGAGAGUGUUUUGUGGUCUAGGGCGGAAUUGGAUCCUGUUAAAUCUUGGUUAAGGACCGGGCUUAGAUAUCCCGUUACGCCAAGACCAAAACCUGAAUGCCGGAGAAGUAAUAGUUAUGUUCUCGAAAAUCUGAGGAGUUGGCGGCUCCCCAAGCUCUUAGAGGAACCUGUGUCUUAAAACGAUGUUCCACGAAAAAUCUUAUUCUCUCUUGUUGUUCAGUCGGUAUACCGCCGUUUGUCAAAGUCUCUUCUAAAGGAUAUACUGUAAUAUAAGAAGUCUUAUAGUAAUUCAGGUUAAGGUGCCACCUAUGGGAGAAGUGGCAUGGGUUACACUGUACUGUARUAAGUCGGAGGAGAGACUGAAAAAUCUCUUUGAAGUAGGAUUUAACAGUAAGUUUUGUUCAAUAAGCAUGGCUGAAGUGUCAUCUGGGGAGUGUACACACCGCCCGUCGCCUCCGUUA